rfam:Small ruminant lentivirus isolate SNCR5576 gag protein and pol protein genes, partial cds.
CGGGGGAUACGUGUGGUGCCGUCCGCUCCCCCUAUGGAAUAACAGAAGCACCAC